AUUAAAACACCAGUUCCAGUAUGAUCACUGAAGUUAAGCAACAUCAAGCCUGGUCAGUAUCUUGAUAAGUAACCGCUUGAGAAUACCAGGUGCUGUAA